rnacentral:rRNA from 1 species
CACGUAGGGGGCGAGCGUUGUCCGGAUUUAUUGGGCGUAAAGAGCUCGUAGGCGGUUUCGUUAGUCGGGUGUGAAAACCCCAGGCUCAACCUGGGGACGCCACCCGAUACUGCGAUGACUAGAGUCCGGUAGGGGAGUGUGGAAUUCCUGGUGUAGCGGUGAAAUGCGCAGAUAUCAGGAGGAACACCAACGGGCGAAGGCAGCACUCUGGGCCGGAACUGACGCUGAGGAGCGAAAGCGUGGGUAGCGAACAGG